UAGGCAUGGCAGGCACGAGGAAUACAAGGCUACCAAUGGAAAAAAUAUUUGUCUCGGUACACUUCCAUCUUUUGUUAAAGAAUGAGGCACACCUUCCCACAUUUGUGUCACAAACUUGUGGUUCGGAACAUCCAUUGGUCACAUGCCAUGGGGCUGAUGGUUAUGGCACAUUGCACAAGGAUGUACGAUGGGGGCCGAUGUGAGUAACAAUGGAGAGUGCAGGAUGACAUACAAAACGGUGGCGUCGACAUGCAAUAGGCAAGCUUUGGGCCACUAUUUUUUUGCUGGUACAUAAUGGGCGUGUGGUUGGGUGGUACCUGGGGAGGGGCUUUAGAGCCCUAACUCAAGUUGCCUUAGAAUACAUAUGUCAUUGUGGUUGGAUUUUUUAUGACACCGUGUAUUGGCGACGAUGUAUAGAUAUUUUGAUACAUUGUGUAUAUACGACCUAGUCUGGUGUAUCCAAAUACUCAUUAUUUUAUUAAUUGUUAUUAUUAUCAUAUAUUACAAUUGUAUUCUAAAAAAUGCAGUGAUGGUGGUGAUGGAUAGGACAUUACUGCCAGAUAGUAUGCCAGACCAACGUUGAUAUCACCAUCAACACAUAGUCGGAUUGAACGCCGAUAUUGGCUGUGCCGAUAACUACAUCUAUGGUGGAUCAUAAUCUGUACGAACAUUGAUGUCUCAUUUACCACUGUCGGAUGGUACGCCCUGCAUCAUCAAUGCCAGAUAGUUUGCCAAUCUGACGGUGGUAUGUGAUCGAUUGUCGCCAGAUCAAACUCUGAUGUGAUGGUGAUCAUAACAAUAGCACCACCAGAUCCAGUGGUGAUGAACAAUACCACCGCCGGUUUCAAAUCUCAAAGGUGAUCACCCACAACUAUCACCAAUGACGGCCAAAGCUGGCAGUGAUGAACGUUAUGUAGUAGUGCCAGUACCGCCCAUAAACACAUGUACAGGUUGCUGGUAAUGGCCCACAAUGGCCUCCUGUAGUCCAUCCGGGUAUU
rnacentral:lncRNA from 1 species